GACAAGGUACAGGAGCAGCUGCCCUGGCAAGACAUUCCAUGUCCCAGUUGGUGGAGGAGCUGGGUUGAGAUGGGGGUGCCUCUUUCUGGCCCUGUUUUAUGGGGUUCUGCCAGGCUGCCCCUCCCCCUGGCAGAAGGGGGGUGCUCUCAUGGCCGGGCUGUGGGUAUGUCUCUGGUGUUUGGACCACGGAUCUGAAUACCAGUGGGGGCAACUGUAAGGUUCUACACAUAGGCAGGACUAAUCUGGAUAUACACAUAUAGGUUGGGGGACACCUAGCUUGGCAUGUGAAAAGGAUGUAGGGGUCUUGGUGGACCACAAGCUUAACGUGAGCCAACAGUGCGAUGCAGCAGCAAAAAAGGUUAAUGCAAUUCUAGACAAAAAAAGUUAAUGCAGUUCUAGGCUGUAAAAAGGUACAGUCAUACUUCAGGUUACAGCCGCUUCAGGUUGCGUUUUUUCGGGUUACAGACCCACCAAAACCCGGAAGCACCGGAACGGGUUACUUCCAGGUUUCAGCAAUCGCGCUUUGCGCAUGUGCAGAAGCACCGAAUCGCAACCCGCAUGCGGCAGGCGCGCCACUGCGGGUUGCGAAUGCUGCGGGUUGCCAACGUGCAUCCCCACGCACUGAUCACGUUCACAACCUGAGCGUCCACUGUCAAGGUAAAGGACCCCUGGGUGGUUAAGUCCAGACAAAGGCGGCUAUGGGGUUUUAGCGCUCAUCUCGCUUUCAGGCCAAGGGAGCUGGCGUUUGUCCACAGACAGCUUUCCGGGUCGUGUGGCCAGCAGAACUAAACCGCUUCUGGUGCAACGGGACACCAUGACAGAAACCAGAGCGCACUGAAACGCCGUUUACCUUCCCACCGCAGCCGUACCUAUUUAUAAUAAUAACAAUUUUUUAUUUAUACUCUGCCCUUCCCAGUUCAAAAACCGGGCUCAGGGUGGCUAACAACAAAUUUAAAACACUUUUCAUUAUAAAAGCAGCAUAAAAUACAGUAUAAAAACAUGAAUAACAAUAAAAUUCAAAAAUCAAUUUAGGGGAAAUAAGCAUUAGAUAAUCCCCAGGGCUAGCUGGCUGAAUUGGUCCUACUUGGGCCAGUGAGGAGACCAGGGGAGAAUGAGCUGUGGGGUCUCAGAGCGGGUAAUCAGAGCAGGAGUUGAACAGAGGUGUGGCCUGAGCCAUCACUGAGCAUGUCCUUUGCAACGACACACACUAGAGCUGGGUAUAAUUGGGGCAAGUACUCACUUCUCUCGCUCCCGGGCGUUCUUGUAUAACUUUACUUCCUGCAAGGGAAAGGAGAGUGACAUUGGAUCCACCAAAUCUUUGCACCACACGAGAGAAGAGUUGGGGCAUCGGGGACCUUCAAGUCUAGGAGGCCCCCAAAUGCCCUUGUAAGGAGCAGCGAGGGUAGUUCGCCAGGGGAGUCCUGCCCAAAUCAGGAGCGCUCUGGCUGGCAGUCCUGCAAUCUGGGGAGUGCCUGAAAUUCCCCGCAAUACUGCAACUCCCCCUCCCCAACCCACUCCCUGUGCCUCAUUUGAAAGGAGUUUCUUGCCACUAAGCCACAAGGGAAACAGCAUCACUUGCCUCGUAUAGUUCCGGCUUAUUCGCUGGGGCUGAAAAACAAAAAGGUGGAAAUACAUGAGACCGGCUUGCUCCCAAACUGCUGCCAUGAACAUGAGAAAAGUUCUCCAGGAAACCCACAAGCAGGAUUUGAGCACAAGAGCCUCUGCCCUCCUGCGGUUUCCAGCAACUGCCUCUGACUUUGGAGGCAGAGUAUAACCAUCGUGGUUAACAGCCACAGAUUGCCCUCUCCUCCUUGCCUUAUGCCAGAACACAAAAGAAUUUGGAAGUGGAGCUCAAGAUCAGUGGGGUUUGGAGACACCAUGCCUGACACACAGGUUAUAUACACAGAAUCCUUGCCAAUUAUUUUUAGGCAUCUCUUCAGGAUCUUAUGCCAACACACCUAUUCAGCUGUUUAUAAAUUCUUUCAGGUUGCGCAAGUCCCUUUUAGGAUUACACUCAUACUUCGGGUUACAGCUGCUUCAGGUUGCGUUUUCUUGGGCUACAGACCCGCCGAAACCCGGAAGUACCGGAAUGGGUUACUUCCGGGUUUCGGCGGUCGCACAUGCGCAGAAGUGCUAAAUCGUGCUUUGCGCAUGUGCAGAAGCGCCGAAUCACAACCCGCGCAUGCGCAGACACGGCACUGCGGGUUGCAAACGUGCCUCCCGCAUGGAUCACGUUCGCAACCCAAGCGUCCACUGUAUCUCAUAUUGAUGGUAUUUAAUAUUUUAUCACACUGACACAUUUUGCUGUACACUGCCUUGAUAUUAUAUGUGAAGGGGCGAUUGAUACAUAUUUUUAUAAUGAAAUAUAUAAAAACACUUCACACA